rnacentral:rRNA from 1 species
UACGUAGGGUCCGAGCGUUGUCCGGAAUUACUGGGCGUAAAGAGCUCGUAGGUGGUUUGUCGCGUUGUUCGUGAAAACUCACAGCUCAACUGUGGGCGUGCGGGCGAUACGGGCAGACGUUGAGUACUGCAGGGGAGACUGGAAUUCCUGGUGUAGCGGUGGAAUGCGCAGAUAUCAGGAGGAACACCAGCGGCGAAGGCGGCGCUCUGGGCCGGUACUGACACUGAGGAGCGAAAGCGUGGGAGCGAACAGG